GGGAGUAAUGUAAAGUGGGGGGACCUUUUUUCGUCUAGAGUAUGAGAUAUUGGGUAUACCAAAUGGUAGUCGCUUUGCACCAUCCACGUCUGGAAGCUUUGGCUAGGAGUGUCACGACCAAGGACGCGGUGUGCUGUGCGCUGUCCAUGUUGACGGGCCAUCCUCGAGUUGCCCCUACCAGGCAAAUCCGCUCGCCUCGAGUUGCCCCUUCCAAGCAAAUCUGGUCGCAAUUGCUAGUCAUCGACGUCCUCCGAGCGGCGUGUGGAUGGCCACAUAUUGUUGUUUUUUGCUCGUCUACGGUGAAGCCUACAUUGAUGAUUGUUAAUGGUGAAGUCGGAGUCGCCCUCGCAGAGGUGUGAUGACGAUGACGCCGGAUUACAACCUUGAUGAAGCUCUUUCCCUUGACGGCGUGUGUGCGUUUUUGUGUAGGUUUUCAGGUCGCCUUGUGUGCCUUGUUGUGGGCGCAUUGUGACGGUUUUAGCCCGAUUUUCCGAUUAUUAACCGGGCAAUUCUCUUCGACCUUUUUUAAUGAAAUCGAUACCUAAGGGACCGCGUUUCAAAAAAUAAAGUGGUAAAGCUUUCUAGACUCCGUAAUCAUUUCAGUUGGUCACGGCAUGCUACUCUGAUUUUAGCAUCCCAUUAUCUAAAACAUUUUAUAGAUGGCACAUUUGUGAAAUCAGAUGAUAAUGUUGAGUGAGAGCAAUUUGAACAGAAUGAGAACCGUUGUUUUGGCGUGGUUGUUGGGGGUCAAGUUGACUCCUUUCAUGCCAAUUUUGCCNGCCUUGUGACGGUUUUAGCCCGAUUUUUCGAUUAUUAACCGGGCAAUUCUCUUCGACUUUUUUUUAAUGAGAUCGAUACCUAAGGAACCGUGUUUUAAAAAAUAAAGUGGUAAAGCUUUUUGGAGUCGGUAAUCAUUUCAGUUGGUCACGGCAUGCUACUCUGAUUUUAGCAUCCCAUUAUCUAAAACAUUUUAUAGAUGGCACAUUUGUGAAAUCAGAUGAUAAUGUUGAGUGAGAGCAAUUUGAACAGAAUGAGAACCGUUGUUUUGGCGUGGUUGUUGGGGGUCAAGUUGACUCCUUUCAUGCCAAUUUUGCCACCCGAGACACCGCCUUUGAGCUACUGCUCAACUCUAUGUUCAUUUCUACAUGAGAGAGUAGGAAUAACAGAUCAAGGGCAUACAAGUCUGUUACUACUAUCUUACACUCAAUAACUCGUGCUCUUGUUAAUUUCAUUUGGGGAUUCCUCUCAAGCAUUGAAUGCGCUCGUCCGCCAAUUGGCUGAGCAUACAAUUUGUAUGACCGGUCUAGUUGUAUACAUAUGACUUUUCUGGUCUAGAUGAUGAACUUGGUUAGGUUCAUCUAAGUCGUAUGACAUAUAGCUGUAGUAGUAAUCAUAGUAGUAUAAAUACUAAGCACUUGUCCACAUUGCACCCAUUCUCAACUCUACUGCCACUGAGAAUUUAUAAGUUGAUGCAUAUAUUUCUUCAUAUUUUAUAGUGUAUGAGAUAUUGGAGUACACCAAAAGGUAGAAGGUUAAAGGUGUGCGGUGGCGCGCAGUCUGUGCACCAUAUGUUGGUGAAUCAUAGUCUGAAUAGGCUAGGUACAAUUGCAUCCAUCCUAGGACAACACGAAUGAAGAAUUUAGUGUUAGAUAGCAAAGGCAGCUGAUAGCAAGUCAAAUACACACCACACUACCACACGUGCAAUGUGUCCUCUAUUUACCAGGAUUCCGGUGCUGCACCGAUGAUUCCUGGCCGCAUCCAAGCGCGGCGGAGUGCCAUCGGUGUGCUGUCCCGUGUCAUGAAGCGCCCACACAAUCUGCAGUUCACCUAUACGAUUAUAGCCAUAUACGAUCAUACCCGUGCAUGACAAAGUUAGGUAGGCUCAUCAAAGCGUUAUGUCUGUUCAAGCUAUUGUAAUUAGUAUAAAUAGUAAGCACUUCAUGUGAUUUAACCCAUUCUAACUCUUGCCACUGUUGUUGAGAACAAUAAAUAAAGUGUACACAUAUGUUUCCUUUGCGUAUUAUAUAGAGUAUGCUUGAGAUAUUGGAGUACAACAAAAUAUAAUUUCUGUUGGGAAGUAGCCUGCUAAGUUGUUAAUUUGUUGAAGGGAGUUUUCUUCGGUGGUUGUAAGAGGAUUGUCGUGAAGCAGUGUUUUUUUUCUUUUCUUUUGAAAAUGGCAGGAUUCUUGCAUUCAGGCCAAUCACGUUCUAAUAGAUCCAAAUGAAAAUUGAUUCGUGCUCGUUUGAUCCAGGGAUACCGGCCGGUGCCCAAACGGGAGUGUUGACUUGCAAUUUGGAGUUCGAUCAAAAUAUGUUUUCAGCAUGUUCCAGCCGUGUUUUUGUUUUGGAAUCCGGUGAUGUACAUGUUAUCAUCAGCCGUUGCUAGCUGUCAUGGUUCGCUAAUCAGAUAUUUUAAAGAUUUUACUCUAGACUAGAUACGAAACUAAGUAAAUGAAUCUAAAUUUUAAAAUAUGACUACAUACAUCCGUAUGUAGUUUAUAGUAAAAUUUCUAAAAGGUCUUACAUUUACUAUUUAGGAACAGAGGAAGUAUAUAUACUCUAUUCCAACAAAUCUCAGUGUGAUUUAUUGUUCUUCUUUGACCAAUGUGCGCUAGCAUUAUCCAUUUGUUAGGAUUUUUUGACAUUUUAAAAUUUAUUUUCCAUAGGCAGGAGCACGUCCUCCUGGGAGCCGAAUUGCAUCUCCGCAAUUAGUUGUAUUUAUAUCUUUGCUGAUAGUAUUAUUUGCAAUAAGCUGUAGUACUUACUUACAGAGUCGAUAUGGAACUGCGUAUUGCAAACUCCUGUAACUAAUACUGUAAGUAUUGUCAGGGCCGGGCCGGCAAAAUCCGGGUCCUGUGCGGAACGAAAAAAUGGGGCCCUAUCUCAUAAAAAUAUGAACUAACAAGCAAUUAUAAUGUAUAUAUGUCUCAUAGAAAAAAUUAUAAUGUAUAUAAUAUAAUAUCUUACAUAAAAAAUGGACAUAUAAAAAAGUCAUACCUAUGCAACUUUCGAUUGCUAUUUAUUUGAACAUCCUCAUUCUUGCAGUAUUCUUUGAAAUAAAAUCUUCAAUGAUAUCCUCGUCAUCAACCUUCUCCAAGACUUCACCCUCAAGUGCUAUUGUGGCCAAAUCAUUGAGUCUUUGUUGUGUCAUAGUAGUACGCAUAUAGGACUUCAAUAGUUUCAAUUUGAAAAACUUCUUUCUGCCAAUGCAACUGUCACAGGAAUGGUCAACAGAACUCUAUAUGCAAUACUUGCAUUGAGAAAACAAUCAUGCCGCUUCAAAAAAUUCAGAAUUUCAACAGGUCCGAUAUUUUCUUUUGGCAUGAAAUCUUGAAGAAACUUCAACUCAACAAAUAGUUCAUUGGCAUCAAUAUCAGAUUGUUUAUCCUUGAUAAGGGAAGCCUCAAUAUUAACACAAGAAGAUUUCAAACUAUCCUUAUCCAAUGAACGCAAUGUUUCAGAGGUAAAUAAGAAACCAAAUAUUUUCUGGUAACCUUCAUAUUGCUCAAAUCUCCUUGUGAGUGAGGAAAUUGCUUGAUCAACAACACGUAUGAAAUAGUUGACUCUAAAUGAUUCCUCUCCAGACUGUGUGGCAAUAUUUGUGUCGUCUGGGUUCUCAUCAAACUGUUUCUUUCUUUUAAUUUCUCUUCUUUUACGAAAUGUUGCAUCAAUAUUCAUCUCAAGUGCAAUUUCUUUGGUAUCUCCAAUGCUUCUAAGAAACCAGUUUCUCUGUACCCCUCAAAGAAAGAAAUAAGCCCUUUCACUUUCUCAAUUGCAACAUUAAUAAGCAUAUCCUUUUUUUGCAAGUUCUUGCUUAUUAAAUUAAUAGCAGACAAUACCUCAUACCAAAUGACUAUUGCCAGGAUAAAUUCAUACUCUCCAAGUUCAUUGUUUGCCAAACCUAGAGCCUCACUGCUUGCCUUUGGAUCACUAUUAGUUUCAGAUACCUGAAAUUAAAAGAAAGUUCAUAAAUGUUACGGCUAGAUCUAGUCAAAGGCUGAAUGAAUUACAUCAUUAUCAAUAUGAACAUAUUGGUUACCUGAAGUAGAGCCUCCCGAAUGUCUGAACAUUGAAAUCUAAUUGGUUUAACACUUUCAACACGACUCUCCCAACGCGUAGCUGACACACACUUGAGAGUCAAUCCUGAUAUGUUUUCUUUCAAAAUAUGCCAGUUCUUAGUAGAAUUUGCAAAAGUUGUAUAGAUGAGUUGGAUGAUCCCAAAAAAGUCUUUUGCUCUACCACAAGUCUUGGCCAUAUCACAAAGUGUUAAAUUAAGGCUAUGACAACCACAAGCAGAAUAAAAAGCUCUAGGAUUUACAUCCAAAAGUUUUCUUUAUACCCCUUGAUGCGUUCCUUUCAUAUUUGAUCCAUUAACAUAACCUUGUCCUCGCACAUCAUUUAUAUCAAGAUCAAGAAGUUUUAGCUCAUUCUGUAGCACCUCAAAAAGUCCUUGGCCAGUUGUAUCAUUUACAUCAAGAAAUUCUAGAAAGGACUCUUCUAUGCAAACUUGACUUGAAGAUGAAUCCACAUAUCUUAUAAUUAAAGACACUUGCUCUUGGUGACUUGCAUCAAGGGUACAAUCAAGUAUGACAGAGAAAUACUUUGCGCUCUUUAUUUUCUUGAUAAUUUCAGACCUAAUACAAGAAGCAAGCAAGUGUAGCAAUUCAUUCUGAAUAUUAUGAUCAAGAUAAUGAGCAUGAGUUUCUUCAUUUGUAAUACGACGAACAUGCUCCUGAAUAAUGGGGUCAAAUUCAACCAACAUCUCUACCAAACCCAAGAAAUUACCAUUGCUAUCUUCAUACAACUUGCCAUUAGUACCACAUAAUGCUAGAUUAUGCUUGGCAAGAAAUUUUACAAUGCAAACAAUUCUGAAUAAUACCUUUCUCCAAUGGUCCUUCUCUUUCCCAAGUUGUCGUUGAGCUGCUUUAUCAAUAGUUUGAUGUUUUUCCAAUCUAAUGCGCAACUCAUACCAAUUAGUCAUACUCAAAACAUGAUCCCCACUUGUCUCAUGGUCUUUUAGUCUAUUGGUCAUAUGUGACCAAUCAUUACAACCCUUAUUUGCCAAUUGACCUUUCUGAUGACUUUUUCUAAAUAACUUACAAGCAAAGCAAAAGACUCUAUCAAGUUGUUUAGAAUAGACAAGUCAGUCUCUAUCACAACACUCUCCAUUUGAUAGAAAUCUAGUAUAGAAUAUUGCGGUAAACCUUUUACGAUAUCUAUCUUUAGGACCUUUCUUAAUUGAAUUGUCUCUUUUUGAACCCUUUUGUGCUAAGAUAUCAAUCUGUUUAGAACCAAGAGAAUCCCGGUUUCUUGGAUCAAAUAUAUCAGACUUAGAAAAAUCAUCAACAUCCUCACGAGGUGAACUAUUCAAGUUAACAUCAAUAUGAUCCUCUACUUCCAUAUUAUCUGUCUCUGUCUGACCAUCUCUAGCAUCAUUGUAAGGAACAAUUGCAAGGGUAGAAGGAUCAACAGACUGAUUACUGGAUGACACUUGCGGUGCUUCUUUUCUAACAAAUUUGUCCAUGCCGCCUUUAUAAGAUUUAUUAAUUAAAUUUUGUUCUUCCGCUUUUCUCUUGCGCUUAUAGGCACCAAACUGAUGUUUCCCCAUGAUGAUUCAAAUCUAUAUUAUUGAAACACAAGAUCAAAAAGAUGAAUACAAUGAAAUUGAAGUUAUAUAGUAGCAUAUAUCAAUUGGAGAUCAUGCAUCAAUGUUUGGAACUUAGACGAACUGUCUAACUCACCUAGUUUUGUGUCCUGCACGGAUGAACUGGGAUCAAUCCGACGAGACGACAAGUCUCGGCGGCGGCCUAAAUCGGAUCGCGGGAUCGACUGAUAAGCAGAUGAAGUGAUCAGUCAUGAUGCGAACGAGAAGGCGACGAGCCGACGAGAUAUUCUUUUCUUACCGAAAUAGAGACGGGAGCGCUACUCGUACUGUCGUACAUGCGCACGCACGGCAUCAACGGUAGAGACGACGCGUAUCCUUCCGUUCUGUGCGAUCACGUCUACAGAAGUAUAGAUCGAUGGGGGAAGACGUCUACAGAUCGAUCAUCGAUGGGAUCAUGCAGACCUUCGUCGUGCGCACCUGCGUCCUGGGAUCAUCGAUGGGGGAAGAUGUGUGCACCUGGCGGCUGGCGCUGGCGAUCACGUUUCGUAGAUGGAGUCACGGAGGCCUGCGCGCCUGACCUACAGGCUACAAGCCACAGGCCCAGGUCGCUCUAGCGAGGCAACGUCCUGCUGGUCCAUGCACCCACCGCCCAGCGGACAGCUGGCUUGAGGCGACCACGGCGCGGAGACGAGCCACCAGCCACGACGCCCACGAAGCCACGACGCCCAAUCGUUUUCUUUAUACAACUAUAUGCUAUAUUAUAUAUAUAUUUUGGGGCCCCCAAAAUCGUGGGCCCUGUGCGGGCUGCACAUGUGACACCACUGUGGGCCCGGGCCUGAGUAUUGUGAUAACAAGAAGGUGUUGCCACGCUUCUCCACUUUGUCCAGUCGGUUGAGCAUAGAAGUUAUAUGAUGGUUCUAACUGUCCUGUGCAUGACAAUUAGUUAGUUUCACCCAAGUCAUAUGACAUAUUACCUGUAAUAGUAAUCCUAGUAGUAUAAAUACUUCUAUAAGAAAGUAGUAUAAAUAGUAAGCGCUUCUCCACAUCUAAGCUGUACAGCUCCACUGAUGUUGAGGAUUAAGUUGAUACAUAUGUUUCUUUAUAAUUAAGAGAGUAUGAGAUGCAAUGCGGUGAUGGUUGCUUUACAAUGCCCGUUCCGUCCCAAAAUAAAUGCUUUAACCUUAGUUUAAUUUUUUGCUACAGCUAGUAUAAAGAUGAAACAGUUAUUUUGAAACAGAUGAGUAUAAAGAAGGGGGAACCUUUUUUCGUCAAGAGAGUAUGAGAUAUUGGGGUAUACCAAAUGAUAGAAGGUUUAAGGUUUCAAUUGUCUCUGUGGCAGCACUAAUGUCUCCUCUUCCUGCUAGUAUUUCUUUUUCUGGUAGACAUGUGUAGCCACAAUGCAUCAGACCGGAAGCUAUUAAGUCGCUUUGCACCAUCCACGUCUGGACGCUUUGGAUAGGAGUGUCACGACCAAGGACGCGGUGGUGCUGUGCUGCGAUGUUUCUUUCACUGGAUGUAGUUGAAAUGGUGAUUUUUUUCUCGAUGUAGCGUGUACUGCAAUAUAUAUCAUACUCUGUUCCAACAAAUCUCAGUGUGAUUUAUUAUUCUGCUUUGACCAAUGCGCGCUAGCAUUAUCCACUUGUUAGGAUUUUUUUGACAUUUCAAAAUUUAUUUUCCAUGGGCAGGAGCACGUGCUCCUGGAAGCCGAAUUGCAUCUCCGCAAUGAGUUGUACUUAUAUCUUUGUUGGUAGUAUUAUUUGCAAUAAGCUGUAGUACUUAUUUGCAAAGGCGAUAUGUAACUGUGUAUUGCAAACUCCUGUAACUAAUAGUCAAGUAUUGUGAUAACAAAAAGGUAUUGCCACGCUUCUGCACUUAUCAAGCAAGCUUGUCUACCAGUCGCUUGAGCAUCGAAGUUAUAUGAUGGUUCUAACUGUCCUGAUCUGCAUGGCAGUUAGUUAGUUUCACCCAAGUCAUAUGACAUAUUACCUGUAAUACUAAUCCUAGUAGUAAUACUUCUGUAAGAAAGUAGUAUAAAUAAGCGCUUCGCCACAUCUAAGCUGUACAGCUCCAGUGAUGUUAAGGAUUAAGUUGAUACAUACUCCUAUGUUUCUCCAUAUUUAAGAGAGUAUGAGAUGUAAUGCGGGGAUGGUUGCUUUAUACUACUCCCUUCACGUCAAAAUAAGUAUCGUAAAUUUAAUAAUGUAUAAAUUUUAUAUUAGAACAGCAACACUUAUUUUAAACCAGAGGGAGCAAUGUAAAGUGGGGGGACCUUUUUUCGUCUAGAGUAUGAGAUAUUGGGUAUACCAAAUGGUAGUCGCUUUGCACCAUCCACGUCUGGAAGCUUUGGCUAGGAGUGUCACGACCAAGGACGCGGUGCUGCUGUGUGCUGUCCAUGUUGACGGGCCAUCCUCGAGUUGUCCGCAAAUCCGCUCGCCUCGAGUUGUCCGCAAAUCCGCUCGCCUCGAGUUGCCCCUUCCAAGCAAAUCUGGUCGCAAUUGCUAGUCAUCGACGUCCUCCGAGCGGCGUGUGGAUGGCCACAUAUUGUUGUUUCUUGCUCGUCUACGGCAGAGGCUACAUCGAUGAUCGUUAAUGGUGAAGUUGGAGUCGCCCUCGCAGAGGUGUGAUGACGAUGACGCUGGAUUACAACCUUGACGGAGCUCUUCCCCUUGGCGGUGUGUGUGCAUUUUUGUGUAGGUUUUCAGAUCGCCUUGUGACGGUUUUAGCCCGAUUUUUCGAUUAUUAACCGGGCAAUUCUCUUCGACUUUUUUUUAAUGAGAUCGAUACCUAAGGAACCGUGUUUUAAAAAAUAAAGUGGUAAAGCUUUUUGGAGUCGGUAAUCAUUUCAGUUGGUCACGGCAUGCUACUCUGAUUUUAGCAUCCCAUUAUCUAAAACAUUUUAUAGAUGGCACAUUUGUGAAAUCAGAUGAUAAUGUUGAGUGAGAGCAAUUUGAACAGAAUGAGAACCGUUGUUUUGGCGUGGUUGUUGGGGGCCAAGUUGACUCCUUUCAUGCCAAUUUUGCCAUCCGAGACACAGCCUUUGAGUUGCUGCUCAACUCUAUGUUCAUUUCUACAUAAGAGAGUAGGAAUAACAGAUCAAGGGCAUACAAGUCUGUUACUACUAUCUUCCACACAACAACUCGUGCUCUUGUUAAUUAAUUUCAUUUGGGGANGGCACAUUUGUGAAAUCAGAUGAUAAUGUUGAGUGAGAGCAAUUUGAACAGAAUGAGAACCGUUGUUUUGGCGUGGUUGUUGGGGGCCAAGUUGACUCCUUUCAUGCCAAUUUUGCCAUCCGAGACACAGCCUUUGAGUUGCUGCUCAACUCUAUGUUCAUUUCUACAUAAGAGAGUAGGAAUAACAGAUCAAGGGCAUACAAGUCUGUUACUACUAUCUUCCACACAACAACUCGUGCUCUUGUUAAUUAAUUUCAUUUGGGGAUUCCUCUCAAGCAUUGAAUGCGCUCGUCCGCCAAUCGGCUGAGCAUAGAAUUUGUAUGACUGGUCUAGUUGUAUACAUAUGACUUUCCUGGUCUGGAUGAUUAAGUUGGUUAGGUUCAUCUAAACCGGAGGGAGUAUGACAUAUAGCUGUAGUAGUAAUGUAUAAAUACUCAGCACUUGUCCACAUUAAUUGCACCAAUCUCAACUCUACUGCCACUGAGAAUUUAUAAGUUGAUGCAUAUAUUUCUCCAUAUCUUGUAGUGUAUGAGAUAUUGGAGUACACCAAAAGGUAGAAGGUUAAAGGUGUGCGGUGGCGCGCAGUC
rnacentral:lncRNA from 1 species